UCGGCGGUGGCCUAGUGGUAAGGUCUGGGCUUCGGGCCACAGGGCUCCAGGUUCGAAACCUGAUUCCACUGAA